rnacentral:rRNA from 1 species
UACGGAGGGGGCUAGCGUUGUUCGGAAUUACUGGGCGUAAAGCGCACGUAGGCGGCUUUGCAAGUUAGAGGUGAAAGCCCGGGGCUCAACUCCGGAAUUGCCUUUAAAACUGCAUCGCUAGAAUUGUGGAGAGGUAAGUGGAAUUCCGAGUGUAGAGGUGAAAUUCGUAGAUAUUCGGAAGAACACCAGUGGCGAAGGCGACUUACUGGACACAUAUUGACGCUGAGGUGCGAAAGCGUGGGGAGCGAUCCGG